UUCAUCGUCGGACAUGACUACUCUACUACCAUGAUAUGCUUUAGCCCUGUCACUUCCUUCCACAAAACAGAAAAAUGUGUGACCGCUCCAGAAACCGUCCCCCAAAUUAGCUAUUAACUUCGUGUUAGAAUAGUUUUAACUAUCUAACAUAAAGCCCGUCUGCAAAGAAGACUGCCAGGAGCUGGGCAGUCCUGGUGGCGGUUCAGCAUUCCGUUGCUUAGAAACAGCCACUAUCCUCAAUCACUGCCAGAUGCAGAUCCUCAGGAAAAAGAAGAGGAGAGUGAGACAAACUCCCCAGGUUUGCAGGUGGCACUACCGUUUUGGACCUCAUCACUAACAAUGACAGGACCACCUACGGGGAAGAGAUUGCCUGCCUGUUGCUAUGGUGCUAAUAACAAGUUGGGGGCAAUGCAUUCAAGCAGUUAAGAUGAAGAUGGCUCCUGAUGUAAUCCACAUCCUCAUUUUACUCUGGAAAUCAGCACAGAUGUUAACAUGGCUGAGAACAUGAGUCUUUUGAUUUGCUAAAGACCAGAAACCUCUUACAGCCUCAAAUGGGAUGAGAUCAUUACGACUAUCAUCACAAGAUGGAAAGAGAAAGAAAGCCACAUGCUGUGUGCACAUAACAUCGGACCCCAGGAUGUCAGAGGGUCCAAACCACAAGGUCGCCCUCUACAGGACCAGGUUGAGUUAUGGCUACGUGCAAUAAAC